CAGAUCAGGGCCUAACUUUAUUUUACAUCGUGCUGAUUUCUGCUGCCGCUGGGUCUCUGUUGAUUGUAGCUGCAGUCGUGAUGUGCUGCAUCUACUGGAAAUGUAGAAAAACAGUCCAGACACAAGUGGAAGACAGAUCCGAACCAGCAUUGUUUAAACCAACAAAAGGAAAAAUGAAACCAAAGGAGCAGCCUGUGUAUGAAAAUGUCCCCCCAAGAAGAUGAUUAAAUAUCUACUGGAAUUAUUAGAGUUCAUGCAUCACACCUUUUCUUUUUCACAUUUAUUUUCUGACUGGAUGUCUAUAUUUAUUUAUUUUUUUUCUCAC